rnacentral:snRNA from 1 species
AUAGUGUAUGGAAGAAGAGAAGGUUAGCACUCCCCUUGACAAGGAUGGAGGAGGCUCUGGGGCCUAACAACUGGCAUUCGGUUAA